rnacentral:lncRNA from 1 species
GUUCGCUUCUCAGUUUCAAAAUAAUUAACUUUUCAAAACACUUGUUUAUAUUGAUAGGGGAUUAAUAAAAGAUUCAAAAAGGCAGAAAAAAUAUAUAGGUCAAUGUGCUUGUUUUCGAGAUAUUAGCCAUUGAAAUUUUGGGGAGAAACUAAUCUCUCUUGACUUUUCAUAGCUUUAGCAUUAACAAGUUUAAGUUUUCAAAAACUAAAAAGAAACAUUUAGAAUUUCAUAAGACUUUUAC